rnacentral:rRNA from 1 species
UCCGCAGGCGGGUAAGUAAGUCGGUGGUGAAAUCUUUCCGCUCAACGGGAAAACGGCCUCCGAGACUGCUUAUCUUGAGUACGGGAGAGGGUGAUGGAAUUCCUGGUGUAGCGGUGAAAUGCGUAGAUAUCAGGAAGAACACCCGUUGCGAAGGCGGUCACCUAGCCCGUUACUGACGCUCAGGGACGAAAGCGUGGGGAGCAAACAGGAUUAGAUACCCUGGUAGUCCACGCCCUAAACGAUGGAUACUUGGUGUCGGGCCGCAAGGCUCGGUGCCGAAGCUAACGCAUUAAGUAUCCCACCUGGGAAGUACGAUCGCAAGGUUGAA